rnacentral:ncRNA from 1 species
CAAAGGCUUGGUCCUGACUUUACUAUCAACUUUUACAAUAUUUACACAUGCAAGUUUCCGCCCUCCAGUGAGAAUGCCCUCAGUUUUCUUGUAGAAAGCCAGGAGCAGGUAUCAGGCUCGUAAACAUCGCCCAUUACGCCUUGCUCAGCCACACCCCCAAGGGAAUUCAGCAGUGAUAAACAUUAAGCUAUAAGUGCAAACUUGACUUAGUUAACGUAAAGAGGGCCGGUUAAACUCGUGCCAGCCACCGCGGUUAUACGAGAGGCUCGAGUUGAUGGCCCACGGCGUAAAGCGUGGUUAGGGACUACAUAAAACUAAAGCCGAACAUUAUCAAAGCUGUUAUACGCACACGAACACUAGAAGCUCACAUACGAAAGUAACUUUACUGCCCUGACCCCACGAAAGCUAAGCUACAAACUGGGAUUAGAUACCCCACUAUGCUUAGUCCUAAACCUCGAUGCCCCACCACAACUGCAUCCGCCAGGGUACUACGAGCAUCAGCUUAAAACCCAAAGGACUUGGCGGUGCUUUAGACCCACCUAGAGGAGCCUGUUCUAGAACCGAUAACCCCCGUUGAACCUCACCCUCCCUUGUCUUUCCCGCCUAUAUACCGCCGUCGUCAGCUUACCCUGUGAGGGCUUCAUAGUAAGCAAAAUUAGUACAACUUAAAACGCCAGGUCGAGGUGUAGCAUAUGAGAGGGGAAGAAAUGGGCUACAUUGUUUAUUUAAACCAUACGAAUGAUAAAAUGAAAAAUCAUCUGAAGGAGGAUUUAGCAGUAAGCGAAAAAUAAUGUGUUUCACUGAAAAUGGCCCUGAAGCGCGCACACACCGCCCGUCACUCUCCCCAAGCUACAGACCAGAAUUAUUUAAGCGACACCAAAAGCAAAGGGGAGGCAAGUCGUAACAUGGUAAGUGUACCGGAAGGUGCUCUUGGACAAAC